AUAGAUACGAAUUUUCAAUCAAAAACAUGCCACAUGAAUCAAACAGACAGACAGAAGUUAUCGACAUCGUAUUUUAAAUGUACAUAUAUAUCUUUGUAUGUAUUUUUAGGGAUCGUGCGAUUUAACACCGCUGGACUAUCAAAAUCAGCCCGAGACGAUUGACACCUGGGAAAAACAUAUUUGUCGCGUUAUUACUAACAUACGGCCCCUAUUGCUGCAAGAAGUGUGAGAAAAUUGGUUCUCUCGGCUGAAAUUUAUUGGAGCCAGCUGCGGCGGCCUCUUACUCGAAAUAAUUUUUAAAACGUAACGAUUGAUAAGAAGCUUGCAUGCCUGAAAAUAAAAGUUCCAAAUCUGCAAUCAAACAAUCCUACAAAUAAUUUAAUUAUCUUUAAGGUUAUUUGGGCAACGCAGUUAUUUAUUAUAGUGAUAUGCAACAUUGAAACACAGCAAUAAGAGUAUUAACAACAAGUCAUGUGCAUUUUAACAACGACAACAGCUGGGGGUCACAUUAGUAAGCAAAGUUAGCAAUAGUUUCUUCGUUGGCAGUUAUAAAGGGGUGCUGCAACACAUGACACGCAUACAAUAGCCAAGCGUUACUCUUCAGCGAAUAGAACACGCUGUGCCAGAUGCUAAAACAAAUGGGCAGCACUCAUGGUGCAAUGUUAAGUUAAGUGCUAUGAUUAUUAGUGGCAAAAUUACUGAAACCCUUUAUUUUUGUUUUCUUUGAAUUACCUUAAUUGAUUUUAAGUCUUAAGUUUUAAAAAUACAAGAAAAAAGAAGAAAUUUGUAUUUUCAUCUGUCAUUUGAUUCAUUUACAAUAUUAAAACUGCUCUGAAAUAUGCAACACCAAGCUUGGUAGCAUUGAAGAUAGCGGCCUAUACCACGUUAUUAAGGUAUACGCAUACUAAUUUUUUUGACAGAAGAGCAGAGAAAUGGCAAAUCUGAGACAGCUAAUUUUAAAAAAUUUUGAAAAAAAAGAAGAAUUGCCAGAAAAAAACGGAAUCUUUUAUUGGAAUCAAUUUUGGAAAAAAGACGUGUAACAAAAGUACACAAUUUCUUCAACACAAUUGAGCAGUACGAUAACGAUGUAUUCUUUUCCCACUUUCGCAUGACUCCUCACACAUUUGCCAAAUUGACGCAUGCUCUGCAGCCGCAUUGGUUAACCUUUAACACUCGCUACUCCCUGAAACAAUCGCUGUAAGCAAUAGUCGCGUAACGUACCGAGAACUCUCUGAUCGAUUCUGCGUUGGAAAAGGAACAGCACAUUAACUUUUUUUCAUGACCAUCAAAACCAUAUGCUAUAUAACUAAAAAAUGAAAUACUUUGGCCCACGCUUGUGGAGCAACAAGGAAUUAUGGAAGAGUUCCAAUCAAAAAGAACAAAUCCAUUUCCAUUGUGGUUGUAAAAUAAACACCCCCAAAAAAGAUGCAAUCAGCUAUUAUGAUCGUAAAGGAAAUUUUUCGAUAACUAUGCAGAUUUAUUUUUCUAUCUAGGCUAUUUGCGAUAGACGAUUUUUAGACGUCUUUAUUGGCUUUCCUGGAAGCUGUUACGACGCCAACGUCUGGCAAAAUAGCCCAAUUUACCAAAAGAUCACCUCCGGAGAAGCUUAGCUCGCGAUCACGGCCGUAAUAUUAGCAGAUUCGGCCUAUCCGCUAUCAAAAUAUUUGAUGGUCCCGUAUAGGGAUAAUGGGCAUCUUUCACCAGAAGAGAAAAAGUUUAGCUACUACCUCAGUUCCACACGAGUAUUAGUCGAACAGUCGUUCGGCCUUUUAAGGCAGAAAUUUAGAAUACUCAAUCACAUCGACGUUUCAACUAUAAAGAGUGCUUCGAAAAUUGUAAUGGCCUGUACUAUGUUACAUAAUUUUAUAUAAUCCCACAAUAUCAAUAUAACAACGAUACAGUGGCUGUUGCCGAAAACAUUAACGAGAGUAGUGAAGGUAUUAUAAGAAGGAAUGAAUUAAAAAUGUUAUUUUCGUCAUACAUUUUUUAUUUAAAAAUAAAUAGC